AUAUCUCUCUGUACGGGAAGGAUGAGAAGCUUCGACCAAGGUUCGAUUCGAGCGUCAGCGAGAAAGC
rnacentral:sRNA from 1 species